UACGUAGGGUGCAAGCGUUAAUCGGAAUUACUGGGCGUAAAGCGUGCGCAGGCGGUCCGUUAAGACAGAUGUGAAAUCCCCGGGCUCAACCUGGGAACUGCAUUUGUGACUGCAUCGCUAGAGUACGGCAGAGGGGGAUGGAAUUCCACGUGUAGCAGUGAAAUGCGUAGAGAUGUGGAGGAACACCGAUGGCGAAGGCAGCCCCCUGGGUCAAGAUUGACGCUCAUGCACGAAAGCGUGGGGAGCAAACAGG
rnacentral:rRNA from 1 species